rnacentral:rRNA from 1 species
ACGAACGCUGGGCGGCGUGCCUAACACAUGCAAGUCGAGCGGGAAAAGUUCCCUUCGGGGAGCGAGUACAGCGGCGAACGGGGUGAGUAACACGUAGGUAACCUACCCUGGAGACUGGGAUAACCUGCCGAAAAGGGCGGGCUAAUACCAGAUAAGACCACGAGGGCCACGGCCCUUGGGGUUAAAAAGAUGGCCUCUACUUGUACGCUAUCACUCCGGGAUGGGCCUGCGCGCCAUUAGCUAGUUGGUGAGGUAAACGGCUCACCAAGGCCGAGAUGGCUAGCUGGUCUGAGAGGAUGGCCAGCCACACUGGGGAACUGAGAACACGGCCCAGACUCCUACGGGAGGCAGCAGUGGGGAAUAUUGCGCAAUGGGGCGAAAAGCCUGACGCAGCGACGCCGCGUGGGUGAUGAAGGCCUUCGGGUCGUAAAGCCCUGUCAAGAGGGACGAAACCUCGUCGACCUAAUACGUCGGCGACCUGACGGUACCUCUGAAGGAAGCACCGGCUUAACUCCGUGCCAGCAGGCCGCGGUAAUACGGAGGGUGCAAGCGUUUGUUCGGAAUCACUGGGCGUAAAGCGCGUGUAGGCGGCCUUCUCAGUCUGGUGUGAAAGGCCCGGGGCUCACCCCCCGGAAGUGCAUUGGAUACUGGAAGGCUGGAAGUACCGGAAGGAGGAGGGUGGAAUUCCUGGUGUUGUAGCGGUGAAAUGCGUAGAUAUCAGGAGGGAACACCGGUGGCGAAAGGCGGCCCCUCUGGACGGAUACUGACGCUUGAGACGCGGACAGCGUGGGGAGGCAAACAGGAUUAGAUACCCUGGUAGUCCACGCCCGUAAACGAUGGGUACUAGGUGUUCGGGGUAUUGACCCCCCUUGAGUGCCGCAGCUAACGCAAUUAAGUACCCCGCCUGGGGGACCUACGGCCGCAAGGCUAAAAACUCAAAGGAAUUGAACGGGGGCCCGCACAAGCGGUGGAGCAUGUGGUUUAAUUCGACGCAACGCGAAGAACCUUUACCUGGGCUAGACAACAUCGGACAGCCCCAGAAAUGGGGGUCUCCCCGCAAGGGGCCGGUGGUUCAGGUGCUGCAUGGCUGUCGUCAGCUCGUGUCGUGAGAUGUUGGGUUAAGUCCCGCAACGAGCGCAACCCCUGUCUCUAGUUGCUACCAUUCAGUUGAGCACUCUAGAGAGACUGCCCGUGUUAAACGGGGAGGAAGGUGGGGACGACGUCAAGUCCCUCAUGGCCCUUAUGUCCAGGGCUACACACGUGCUACAAUGGGCGGUACAAAGGGCUGCGAACCCGUGAAGGGGGAAGCCAAUCCCAAAAAAAGCCGCCUCUCAGUUCGAAUUGGAGUCUGCAACUCGACUCCAUGAAGGCGGAAUCGCUAGUAAUCGCGGAUCAGCACGCCGCGGUGAAUACGUUUCCCGGGCCUUGUACACACCGCCCGUCACACCAUGGGAGUCAGUUGUACCGGAAAGUCGGUGUUUCAACCCGCAAGGGGGAUAGCCGCCGAUGGUAUGGCUGGUGACUGGGGUG